rnacentral:rRNA from 1 species
GACGAACGCUGGCGGCGUGCCUAAUACAUGCAAGUAGAACGCUGAAGGAGGAGCUUGCUUCUCUGGAUGAGUCGCGAACGGGUGAGUAACGCGUAGGUAACCUGCCUGGUAGCGGGGGAUAACUAUUGGAAACGAUCGCUAAUACCGCAUAAUAGUAGAUGUUGCAUGACAUUUGCUUAAAAGGUGCAAUUGCAUCACUACCAGAUGGACCUGGGUUGUAUUAGCUAGUUGGUGAGGUAACAGCUCACCAAGGCGACGAUACAUAGCCGACCUGAGAGGGUGAUCGGCCAUACUGGGACUGAGACGAGCCUCAGGCUCCUACGGGAGCCAGCAGUAAGGAAUCUUAGGCAAUAGACGGAAGUAUGACCGAGCAACGCCGCGUGAGGGAAGAAGGUUUUCGGAUCGUAAAGCUCUGUUGUAAGAGAAGAAAGGGAGUGAGAGUGGAAAGUUCGCACUGUGACGGUAUCUUACCAGAAAGGGACGGCUAACUACGUG